UACGUAGGCAGCGAGCGUUGUUCGGAGUUACUGGGCGUAAAGGGUGUGUAGGCGGUUGUUUAAGUUUGGUGUGAAAUCUCCCGGCUCAACUGGGAGGGUGGGCCGAAUACUGAAUGACUUCGAGUGCGGGAGAGGUGAGUGGAAUUCCUGGUGUAGCGGUGAAAUGCGUAGAUAUCAGGAGGAACACCGGUGGUGUAGACGGCUCACUGGACCGUAACUGACGCUGAGACACGAAAGCGUGGGGAGCAAACAGG
rnacentral:rRNA from 1 species